UACGUAGGCAGCGAGCGUUGUUCGGAGUUACUGGGCGUAAAGCGUGCGUAGGCGGUUGUCUAAGUUUGGUGUGAAAUCUCCCGGCUUAACUGGGAGGGUGCGCCGAAAACUGGGUGACUGGAGUGUCGGAGAGGUAAGCGGAAUUCCUGGUGUAGCGGUGAAAUGCGUAGAGAUCAGGAGGAACACCAAUGGCGAAGGCAGCUCGCUGGAACGGUACUGACGCUGAGGCGCGAAAGCGUGGGGAGCGAACAGG
rnacentral:rRNA from 1 species